AACGAACGCUGGCGGCAUGCCUAACACAUGCAAGUCGAACGAGACCUUCGGGUCUAGUGGCGCACGGGUGCGUAACGCGUGGGAACCUGCCCUUAGGUUCGGAAUAACUCCCCGAAAGGGGUGCUAAUACCGGAUAAUGUCUUCGGACCAAAGAUUUAUCGCCUUUGGAUGGGCCCGCGUUGGAUUGGCUAGUUGGUAGGGUAAAAGCCUACCAAGGCGACGAUCCAUAGCUGGUCUGAGAGGAUGAUCAGCCACACUGGGACUGAGACACGGCCCAGACUCCUACGGGAGGCAGCAGAAGGGAAUAUUAGACAAUGAGCGAAAGCGUGAUCCAGCAAUGCCGCGUGAGUGAUGAAGGCCUUAGGGUUGUAAAGCUCUUUUACCCGGGAUGAUAAUGACAGUACCGGGAGAAUAAGCUCCGGCUAACUCCGUG
rnacentral:rRNA from 1 species